GCCGGUUUAGCUCAGUUGGUAGAGCAACCGCCUUGUAAGCGGUAGGUCGUGGGUUCAAAUCCUACAACCGGCA
rnacentral:tRNA from 1 species